rnacentral:rRNA from 1 species
UACGAAGGGGGCUAGCGUUGCUCGGAAUCACUGGGCGUAAAGGGUGCGUAGGCGGGUUUUUAAGUCAGAGGUGAAAUCCUGGAGCUCAACUCCAGAACUGCCUUUGAUACUGAAAGUCUUGAGUAUGGGAGAGGUGAGUGGAACUGCGAGUGUAGAGGUGAAAUUCGUAGAUAUUCGCAAGAACACCAGUGGCGAAGGCGGCUCACUGGCCCGAUACUGACGCUGAGGCACGAAAGCGUGGGGAGCAAACAGGG